AUUGAACGCUGGCGGCAGGCCUAACACAUGCAAGUCGAGCGGAUGCACGGAGAUUGCUCCUUGAUUCCGCUGGCGACGGGCGGGUGAUUCAUAGGUAUAUGCCUGGCAGUUGUGGCUAGGGUCAGUACGCGGGCACUAAUAUCCUAUCCGUUCAUAGGGUGAACGGGGGGGAUCAUCGGACCUCCCGCCAUUUGCUGAGUCUAGGACGGAUUAGCUAGUUGGUUGGGUAAAGGGGUACCAAGGCGACGAUCCGUACCUGCUCUGAGAGGAUGAUCAGCCACACUGGAACUGAGACACGGUCCAGACUCCUACGGGAGGCAGCAGUGGGGAAUAUUGGACAAUGGGCGAAAGCCUGAUCCAGCCAUGCCGCGUGUGUGAAGAAGGUCUUCGGAUUGUAAAGCACUUUUAUUGGGGAAGAACAGCAGUAAGUUAAUACCUUGCUGUUUUGACGGUACCAAAAGAAUAAGCACCGGCUAACUUCGUG
rnacentral:rRNA from 1 species